ACACGUGGGUAACCUGCCCAUCAGAGGGGGAUAACAUUCGGAAACGGAUGCUAAAACCGCAUAGGUCUUCGAACCGCAUGGUUUGAAGAGGAAAAAAGGCGCAAGCUUCUGCUGAUGGAUGGACCCGCGGUGCAUUAGCUAGUUGGUGAGGUAACGGCUCACCAAGGCCGUGAUGCAUAGCCGACCUGAGAGGGUGAUCGGCCACAUUGGGACUGAGACACGGCCCAA
rnacentral:rRNA from 1 species